GUGAGGAAUAUUGGUCAAUGGGAGAGAUCCUGAACCAGCCAAGCCGCGUGAGGGAAGACGGCACUACGUGUUGUAAACCUCUUUUGCCGGGGAACAAAAGCGGGGACGCGUCCCCGUCUGCGUGUACCCGGAGAAAAAGCAUCGGCUAACUCCGUGCCAGCAGCCGCGGUAAUACGGAGGAUGCGAGCGUUAUCCGGAUUUAUUGGGUUUAAAGGGUGCGUAGGCGGUUCCUUAAGUAAGCGGUAAAAUCGCGGGGCUCAACCCCGCCGAGCCGUUUAGACUGGGGGACUUGAGACGGCGAGAAGUACGCGGAAUGCGCGGUGUAGCGGUGAAAUGCAUAGAUAUCGCGCAGAACUCCGAUUGCGAAGGCAGCGUACCGGCGCCGUUCUGACGCUGAGGCACGAAAGCGUGGGGAUCGAACAGG
rnacentral:rRNA from 1 species